UGCAUCCUGAACCUUUUCUGCCUUGUGAUCCUCAGCAUGCAGUGUCAGAGACCCUGCAGGGACAGUUGGAGGAGCUGGAGAGGGCAGCUGCCCACUUGCAAGAGUUAUGCCCCACUCAGCAGUGCCCCACCAGCCGGCAGGUGCAGGAGACGCUGUGGGCGUGGGCAGGGCUGCGAGAGCUGCUAUGGGAGACUCGGACCCGAGUGCAACAGGCCAGCCGGCUGUGGCACUUCUUCAAGGAUUAUUUAGCCAUGAUCUCCUGGACAGAGGACACACGGGCUCAGAUCUUCUCUGAAAGCCCAAGCAGCCCCAGCCUCCCAAAAACUCCAUGUGAAGAACUGGAGAGGAGGAUCGAAGAGAAGCUCAAGGAGUUUGAGACACUGGCAGCAUCAGGGCAGCAGCUGGUGUCUGAGGAGCACUACCUGAGUGCAACAAUAAAGGAGCGCUUGGAGGAGCUGCAGAGCAUGCUGGGCUGGGUGCUGGUGCGCUGG
rnacentral:lncRNA from 1 species